UAACAGAUAUAUCAGUAUUUGAAAGUAACGUACUUUGAUUCAAUCAAAAAAAUAUAUUUUCAAGUAAAAUACAUUUUUAUUUUCACUAUUAUCAUUAACCACAUGGAUACUUAUUUAUUUAACAGUACGUUUGCUAUAGCAUAGGUUAAGAUAAUUAUUUCAUUAUCAAAUAAAGUUUAAAUAACACAAUCUCAAAUAUUACGUAAAAAACAAUUCACCUCUGAUUCUUCAAUUUCUUCCCAACUUUCAAGAAUGUCAUCCAUCGCUGACAUUUUUCGAAUUAUGCACUUAUUUUUAACUCUUAUAAAUCACCUUGAAGAAGUUAACAACGUUCGCAUGAAUCGAGGAACGUAUAAA